rnacentral:rRNA from 1 species
GGCUCCUUGAAAUAAGGUAUAUAAGGGGUCGGGCCUGCCCGGUGAAGAGAGAAAUCUCUUUUAACGGCCGCUGUAAUGGGUGCAAAGGUAGCAUAAUCUCUUGCCCCUUAAUUUGGGGAUUGUUGAAUGGUUUGACGAGGGCUCGGCUGUCUCACCUUAAAAAGAUGAAAUUAACUUCUAAGUGAAAAGGCUUAGAUAUGUGGGCUGGACGAGAAGACCCCGUGGAGUUUUACCAUUUAUUUGUUAUAUACUUGUAUGAGUAUACUUCAAAGAGUGUGGGGUUGGUUGGGGCAACAAGGGGAUAAAAAAAUCUCUCCUUAAUAAAAUUAAUUGGUGGAGGUGAUCCGUUUAGAACGAUUAGAAGAAGAAGUUACCCCGGGGAUAACAGCGUAAUUUUUUUUGAGAGUUCUUAUCGAAAAAGGAGGUUGCGACCUCGAUGUUGGAUUAGGACAUCCCCAGGGUGCAGAAGCUCUGAAAGGUAGGUCUGUUCGACCUUUAAAGUCCUACA